rnacentral:rRNA from 1 species
AACGAACGCUGGCGGCAUGCCUAACACAUGCAAGUCGAACGAGACCUUCGGGUCUAGUGGCGCACGGGUGCGUAACGCGUGGGAAUCUGCCCUUGGGUUCGGAAUAACAGUUGGAAACGACUGCUAAUACCGGAUGAUGACGUAAGUCCAAAGAUUUAUCGCCCAGGGAUGAGCCCGCGUAGGAUUAGCUAGUUGGUGGGGUAAAGGCCUACCAAGGCGACGAUCCUUAGCUGGUCUGAGAGGAUGAUCAGCCACACUGGGACUGAGACACGGCCCAGACUCCUACGGGAGGCAGCAGUGGGGAAUAUUGGACAAUGGGCGAAAGCCUGAUCCAGCAAUGCCGCGUGAGUGAUGAAGGCCUUAGGGUUGUAAAGCCCUUUUACCCGGGAUGAUAAUGACAGUACCGGGAGAAUAAGCCCCGGCUAACUCCGUG